rnacentral:lncRNA from 1 species
GUAUGAGCGUCAAAAAUAUCAUUCCUCAAUACCCCGUCCGGUAUAAGUAUGAAACGGGUCAUCCCCAUACCCCAUCCGGUAUGAGCGCUAAAAUAUCAAUCCUCGAUAUCCUGUCCCGGUAUAAAGCAACAUUCACGGUAUGGUUCUCUAUGUACCCAAUUUGUCCACCAUUUCCCAGGAUAUCCAAUAACGCUACCAUUCAUUCAUUCACUUAAUCAAGCAAUUUUUCAUUUACAUUUAAUUUUAGUUUCACAAUUUAACUGUAAAUCACGUAAAACAUGCAAUACAUGCAUCAAGGAAGCACAACUAGUUUGUCAUGCAUUCCGAAAGCACUAAGAUGUAUCAAAGUAUGCGAUCUCGAUUUUAGUAGAAUGGGAUGAAAAGAGAUGUGGCCGACUUUGUUUCUAAGUAUUUGGUAUAUCAGCAGGUCAAG